AGCGAACGUUAGCGGCGCGCCUAACACAUGCAAGUCGCACGAGAAAGGGGGGCAACCCCCGGUACAGUGGCGGCACGGGUGAGUAACACGUGGGUGAUCUGCCCAGAAGAAGGGGAGUAACCUCUCGAAAGGGGGGCGUAAUACCGCAUAGGACCACCGGGGCGUUUGGCUCUGUGGUGAAAGGGGGCCGUCUGUUUACAAGCUCCUGCUUCUGGAUGAGCCCGCGUCCCAUCAGCUAGUUGGUAGGGGUAAUGGCCUACCAAGGCUACGACGGGUAGCUGGUCUAAGAGGAUGGCCAGCCACACUGGAACUGAGACACGGCCCAGACUCCUACGGGAGGCAGCAGUGGGGGAAUAUUGGACAAUGGGCGAAAGCCUGAUCCAGCAAUGCCGCGUGAGUGAUGAAGGCCUUAGGGUUGUAAAGCUCUUUUACCAGGGAUGAUAAUGACAGUACCUGGAGAAUAAGCUCCGGCUAACUCCGUGCCAGCAGCCGCGGU
rnacentral:rRNA from 1 species